AUGUAUGGGGUUAUGGUUCAGCACAUAUCAGGGAAUAACAUAGCAUCAAAAAAUGAGGAAAAGAUAGAGACGGAGAUGCUUCAGAUAUUUACGUGUCGGAGACACUCGGGCGGUUCUUCACCUGCGAUGAAGCUCAAGAAAUCCGAAGGUGCGCAACUCGAACAAGGCCUAAGCGGGCUGCAAGUCGCAUUUUCGAAGCCGUCUUAUUAA